rnacentral:rRNA from 1 species
UACGAGGGGGGCGAGCGUUGUUCGGAAUUAUUGGGCGUAAAGGGCGCGUAGGCGGUCGGAUAAGUCUUGUGUGAAAUCUUCGGGCUCAACUCGAAGUCUGCACAGGAAACUAUCUGGCUUGAGUGUGGGAGAGGUGACUGGAAUUCCUGGUGUAGCGGUGGAAUGCGCAGAUAUCAGGAGGAACACCGGUGGCGAAGGCGGGUCUCUGGGCAGUAACUGACGCUGAGGAGCGAAAAGCGUGGGGGAGCGAACAGG